rnacentral:rRNA from 1 species
CAGCAGCCACGGUAACACGAAGGGGGCUAGCGUUGCUCGGAAUCACUGGGCGUAAAGGGUGCGUAGGCGGGUCUUUAAGUCAGGGGUGAAAUCCUGGAGCUCAACCCCAGAACUGCCUUUGAUACUGAAGAUCUUGAGUUCGGGAGAGGUGAGUGGAACUGCGAGUGUAGAGGUGAAAUUCGUAGAUAUUCGCAAGAACACCAGUGGCGAAGGCGGCCCACUGGCCCGAUACUGACGCUGAGGCACGAAAGCGUGGGGAGCAAACAGGAUUAGAUACCCCCGUAGUCCCUGUCUCUUAUAC